rnacentral:rRNA from 1 species
CCGGCUCAGGACGAACGCUGGCGGCGCGCCUAACACAUGCAAGUCGAACGAGAGAUGAGGAGCUUGCUCUUCAAAUCGAGUGGCGAACGGGUGAGUAACGCGUGAGGAACCUGCCUCAAAGAGGGGGACAACAGUUGGAAACGACUGCUAAUACCGCAUAAGCCCACGGCUCGGCAUCGAGCAGAGGGAAAAGGAGCAAUCCGCUUUGAGAUGGCCUCGCGUCCGAUUAGCUGGUUGGUGAGGUAACGGCCCACCAAGGCGACGAUCGGUAGCCGGACUGAGAGGUUGAACGGCCACAUUGGGACUGAGACACGGCCCAGACUCCUACGGGAGGCAGCAGUGGGGAAUAUUGCACAAUGGGGGAAACCCUGAUGCAGCGACGCCGCGUGGAGGAAGAAGGUCUUCGGAUUGUAAACUCCUGUUGUUGAGGAAGACAAUGACGGUACUCAACAAGGAAGUGACGGCUAACUACGUGCCAGCAGCCGCGGUAAAACGUAGGUCACAAGCGUUGUCCGGAAUUACUGGGUGUAAAGGGAGCGCAGGCGGGAGAACAAGUUGGAAGUGAAAUCCAUGGGCUCAACCCAUGAACUGCUUUCAAAACUGUUUUUCUUGAGUAGUGCAGAGGUAGGCGGAAUUCCCGGUGUAGCGGUGGAAUGCGUAGAUAUCGGGAGGAACACCAGUGGCGAAGGCGGCCUACUGGGCACCAACUGACGCUGAGGCUCGAAAGUGUGGGUAGCAAACAGGAUUAGAUACCCUGGUAGUCCACACCGUAAACGAUGAUUACUAGGUGUUGGAGGAUUGACCCCUUCAGUGCCGCAGUUAACACAAUAAGUAAUCCACCUGGGGAGUACGACCGCAAGGUUGAAACUCAAAGGAAUUGACGGGGGCCCGCACAAGCAGUGGAGUAUGUGGUUUAAUUCGACGCAACGCGAAGAACCUUACCAAGUCUUGACAUCCCUUGACGAUACUGGAAACAGUAUUUCUCUUCGGAGCAAGGAGACAGGUGGUGCAUGGUUGUCGUCAGCUCGUGUCGUGAGAUGUUGGGUUAAGUCCCGCAACGAGCGCAACCCUUAUGGUCAGUUACUACGCAAGAGGACUCUGGCCAGACUGCCGUUGACAAAACGGAGGAAGGUGGGGAUGACGUCAAAUCAUCAUGCCCUUUAUGACUUGGGCUACACACGUACUACAAUGGCGUUAAACAAAGAGAAGCAAGACCGCGAGGUGGAGCAAAACUCAGAAACAACGUCCCAGUUCGGACUGCAGGCUGCAACUCGCCUGCACGAAGUCGGAAUUGCUAGUAAUCGUGGAUCAGCAUGCCACGGUGAAUACGUUCCCGGGCCUUGUACACACCGCC